rnacentral:rRNA from 1 species
GACGAACGCUGGCGGUGUGCUUAACACAUGCAAGUCGAACGGGAAGGCCCUUUCGGGGGUGCACGAGUGGCGAACGGGUGGGUAACACGUGAGUAACCUGCCCGCAUCUCUGGGAUAACAGUCGGAAACGGUUGCUAAUACUGGAUAUGAGCUUGCGAGGCAUGUAGUGGGGUGGAAAGAUUUUUUAUGGUUGGGGAUGGACUCGCGGCCUAUCAGCUUGUUGGUGAGGUAGUGGCUCACCAAGGCUUCGACGGGUAGCCGGCCUGAGAGGGCGAGCGGCCACAUUGUGACUGUGAUACGGCCCAAACUCCUACGGGAGGCAGCAGUGGGGAAUAUUGCACAAUGGACGGAAGUCUGAUGCAGCAACGCCGCGUGCGGGAUGACUGCCUUCGGGUUGUAAACCGCUUUCAAUUGUGACGAAGCUUUUUUGUGACGGUAGCAGUAGAAGAAGCACCGGCUAACUACGUG